CCCUGCACUUUUCAUUCGCACCCAGCUGAAAAGACAUUAAUACCCCUACGCUAGUUAAGUCACGCAGCGUGACUUAACUAACACACCUUAUAAUCUUUGUGUGAGUUAAGUCACACACCACUGACAUUUUGCGCGAGUUAACUCACGCACAUUGGCCAGUAGCCAGAACUGAAGAACACAUGUUUUUUGGACGGUGUUCAAUGCAUUUUAAUUGGUUUUGCACGUUUUUGUUAUGUUUUUUCACGUUUUUUUGACUAUAUUUAUGGUAGAUACAACCUAUGUUACAAUCUCCUCCUAUAAAUACAC
rnacentral:lncRNA from 1 species